AGAUAUAUAAGCUAAAACAAGCUAAGGAGCUCAUAACUCUUUGAUAGGAUAAUCCCUUAUCUCUA
rnacentral:tRNA from 1 species